rnacentral:rRNA from 1 species
CGGCGUGCCUAAUACAUGCAGGUCGAACGGCUUUCUAUGGAAGCUUGCUUCCACUGAGAAGAUAGUGGCGAACGGGUGAGUAACACGUGGGUAACCUGCCCAUAAGAGGGGGAUAACAUCCGGAAACGGGUGCUAAUACCGCAUAGUUUUCUUGAUCGCAUGAUCGGGAAAGGAAAGACGGCCUUUGUGCUGUCGCUUAUGGAUGGACCCGCGGCGUAUUAGUUAGUUGGUGAGGUAACGGCUCACCAAGACGAUGAUACGUAGCCGACCUGAGAGGGUGAUCGGCCACAUUGGGACUGAGACACGGCCCAAACUCCUACGGGAGGCAGCAGUAGGGAAUCUUCCGCAAUGGACGAAAGUCUGACGGAGCAACGCCGCGUGAGUGAAAGAAGGUUUUCGGAUCGUAAAACUCUGUUGUCAGAGAAGAACAAGUUUGGAGAGUAACUGCUCCAGCCUUGACGGUAUCUGACCAGAAAGCCACGGCUAACUACGUGCCAGCCGCCGC